CCUACGGGGGACAGCAGUGAGGAAUAUUGGUCAAUGGGCGCGAGCCUGAACCAGCCAAGUAGCGUGAAGGAUGACUGCCCUACGGGUUGUAAACUUCUUUUAUACAGGGAUAAAGUGAGGCACGUGUGCAUUUUUGCAUGUACUGUAUGAAUAAGGAUCGGCUAACUCCGUGCCAGCAGCCGCGGUAAUACGGAGGAUCCGAGCGUUAUCCGGAUUUAUUGGGUUUAAAGGGAGCGUAGAUGGGUUGUUAAGUCAGUUGUGAAAGUUUGCGGCUCAACCGUAAGAUUGCAAUUGAUACUGGCAGCCUUGAGUACAGUUGAGGUAGGCGGAAUUCGUGGUGUAGCGGUGAAAUGCUUAGAUAUCACGAAGAACACCGAUUGCGAAGGCAGCUUACUAAACUGCCACUGACAUUGAUGCUCGAAAGUGUGGGUAUCAAACAGGAUUAGAUACCCUUGUAGUC
rnacentral:rRNA from 1 species